GACAGCUGCCAAACACACUGUGUCCCUGGCAACACCUGUUGAGUCAGCCGCGGUGGUGGAGAGUCAGAUGAAGAAAGACAGCUGUACACAUGCCAACAGCAGCAGGAUGCUGUGCUGGGCUUGCGCUCUGCCAGCAGAAGAUGUGCCAAACUCGCUGGCCCAGAUUCAAAUGGCUGGGUGUCGACUCAGUUUGCCAGCAAAUAAGCCCAGGGAAUACAUUUGCAUUAACACCGCUCCCUGUUCCCACCUCCCCAGUCCUUCUCCCGCUCCACAUAGAACACAGUUCCUCUUUCCAGAAUGUCAUCUUCAGCCUGCUUUUCAGAACCUGUAUUUCAGUGGAACAUGAGGGCUAUCAGAUGUCUUUCCUGUGUCCUUGACAAUGGCAUUAAAUGAUUCCAUGCAUGUGCAAAGUCCUGUUAAUCCGGUGAGCUACUUUGGCAACUUGAAAAUGAUCAGAGCGUGGUUGAUGACCAUGCUGGCCAGUUUGUGAAAGCUUUAGAGAAGGGCCAGGAAAGUCACCCCAUUUAAGAGAUCUUCUUCCCUUCUGUGGUCUCCCAAACCUCCUCUGCCCGACAACUCCGCAGCCUCCCUGGGGCCACUGUAGUCAGCCUCGCCGGACACAGGGUCAAUUCAGGUGGUGAUCAUUGCCUUCUUCUCCCUCUAGGGAACAACUCUCUUCAUAAGGAUUCUUUUUCCCAGCAAGCAGAGAUGACCUGGAAAUUUGAUAGUUCCUGACUUACAAACUACACUUUCUCAAGAGAGAAAUAUUACCUUAUAGAAACUAGCUUUUAUCCUGCUGAGCAACUGUAUUCGGCUGUAGGGAUUGUCUCCUAUUAGAGCCGUGAGAGCUGAGCGAAGCAUGUAGGGCUAUCUUCCUCACACCAAAAAAGCUGCUGGAAUCGCGUGUGACCCUGAAAAGAAACCACAGUGUGACUAAGGGGGGAGCCGAGGGGAGACAAAAAUGUCAGCAUAAGCCAGUGCAUUGCUCAUGCAGAGUGAGUUUGAAUACUCUUAAACACACCAGGAGAAAAGUUCUCAAGGUUUUGAAACUCCUGGGCAAUGGUG
rnacentral:lncRNA from 1 species